rnacentral:sRNA from 1 species
UACUCCUCUAUGAGGACAUGUGCACACGC